AACGUAGGACACAAGCGUUAUCCGGAAUUACUGGGCGUAAAGCGCAUGCAGGCGGAUUACCAAGUCAUGUGUGAAAGCUCCCGGCUAAACUGGGAGAGGACGGAUGAGACUGGUAGUCUGGAGGGUGGUAGAGGCGUGUGGAAUUCCGCGUGUAGUGGUGAAAUGCGUAGAGAUGCGGAGGAACACCAGUGGCGAAGGCGGCACGCUGGGCCAUACCUGACGCUGAGAUGCGAAAGCAUGGGGAGCGAACGGG
rnacentral:rRNA from 1 species